GCUGCAGCAGCGGCAGCGGCACAAGGAACAAGGAAGGGACCCGGCCUGCCUAAAUACUGACAUGCAGGUGGCAUGGCACGCCAGGACCUUGCGAGAGGGUAGGAGAACCAGCCCGGGUGACAAGUGAGCUGAGCUCUGAACUUGAACUGAGGUUUGAGCAACAUCACAAGGAUGGAUUUUGCUCCAGAGUUUGAAACGUCAGCUGUACUUCACCACAGAGGUCUCCACACUAACUACAUAUUAUAAUCAUGCAGCUCCCAGUCUCGGAUGGGAUAGAAAGAGAAAAAAAACUCCAGGCUCAGAUGAGGUCCAAGCUGUUGAUGAGGGGCCGCCUGUCUCCAAGGCCAACUGACUAACUUGGUUGAAUUGUGUUGAGGCUCUGAGGAGGAAGAAGCUAUAUCUGCGAAGAGGCUCUGGAAAAGGGCUGGCACCACCAUGUAUGGGUGUGGAUAACCCCGGGGCUUCAGGAGAAAUCAGGCAAGAUGCGAAGAGACCCCAGCAAUAUAGAAUGACUGCAUCUAAAAAAUUCAACCGUUGUUCCGGAUCCAUGCUGGGCAGCACUGGCCAUCCUAGGAGAAAGGGCCACAUGGAACUUUCCAGAAGUCCACAAGUGGUCAGUUCACAGGGGAUUGCUGGUUAGGACAUGCCAGAUUUUCACCUUCCUCUCCCGUCACGGCUGUGGUGGAACCCAGGACUUCUGCCAUACCUACGAUGUUUCUCCUUCUUGCGCUCUUCUUCCCUGGACCCCACGCUCCCAAGACAGACAGACAGACAGACAGACACACACACACACACAUGCGCACACACAGAGACGCAUGCAUGCACACACAUACAUACACAGAGACACACACACACACAUGCACAUACACACAACAAACAAUUUCUCUUGAGACCAAAAUACA